UACGUAGGGGGCGAGCGUUGUCCGGAAUCACUGGGCGUAAAGGGCGCGUAGGUGGUUUGAUAAGGGUGUGGUGAAAGUCCGGAGCUCAACUCCGGAUCUGCCGUGCCGACUGUCAAACUCGAGGGCUGUAGAGGCAGACGGAAUUCCGGGUGUAGCGGUGGAAUGCGUAGAGAUCCGGAGGAAGACCGGUGGCGAAGGCGGUCUGCUGGGCAGUUUCUGACACUGAGGCGCGACAGCGUGGGGAGCAAACAGG
rnacentral:rRNA from 1 species